rnacentral:rRNA from 1 species
AGAGUUUGAUCCUGGCUCAGGAUGAACGCUAGCGGCAGGCUUAAUACAUGCAAGUCGAGGGGCAGCGCGGGUAGCAAUACCUGGCGGCGACCGGCAAACGGGUGCGGAACACGUACGCAACCUUCCCGAAACUGGUGAAUAGCCCUCCGAAAGGAGGAUUAAUACACCGUAAGAUAAUGAAGCGGCAUCGCUUUAUUAUUAUAGGCAGCAAUGUCGGUUUUGGAUGGGCGUGCGCCUGAUUAGGUAGUUGGCGGGGUAACGGCCCACCAAGCCUGCGAUCAGUAACUGGUGUGAGAGCACGACCAGUCACACGGGCACUGAGACACGGGCCCGACUCCUACGGGAGGCAGCAGUAAGGAAUAUUGGUCAAUGGACGCAAGUCUGAACCAGCCAUGCCGCGUGAAGGAUGAAGGCCCUCUGGGUUGUAAACUUCUUUUAUAGGGGACGA